rnacentral:rRNA from 1 species
AUACGUAGGGGGCGAGCGUUGUCCGGAAUGAUUGGGCGUAAAGGGAGCGUAGGCGGCUUUGCAAGUCAGUAGUGGAAGUCCAUUUUUCAAGGAUGGAAGUGCUACAGAAACUGAGGAGCUUGAGUGCAGGCGAGGUUAUCGGAAUUCCCGGUGUCGCGGUGAAAUGCGUAGAGAUCGGGAGGAACACCAGUGGCGAAGGCGGGUAACUGGACUGCAACUGACGCUGAGGCGCGAAAGUGUGGGGAGCAAACAGGAUUAGAUACCCUGGUAGUCCACACUGUAAACGAUGAAUGCUAGGUGUAGGAGGUAUCGACCCCUUCUGUGCCGCAGUAAACACAGUAAGCAUUCCGCCUGGGGAGUACGGUCGCAAGAUUAAAACUCAAAUGAAUUGACGGGG